rnacentral:rRNA from 1 species
GACGAACGCUGGCGGCGUGCUUAACACAUGCAAGUCGAACGGAAAGGCCCUGCUUUUGUGGGGUGCUCGAGUGGCGAACGGGUGAGUAACACGUGAGUAACCUGCCCUUGACUUUGGGAUAACUUCAGGAAACUGGGGCUAAUACCGGAUAGGAGCUCCUGCUGCAUGGUGGGGGUUGGAAAGUUUCGGCGGUUGGGGAUGGACUCGCGGCUUAUCAGCUUGUUGGUGGGGUAGUGGCUUACCAAGGCUUUGACGGGUAGCCGGCCUGAGAGGGUGACCGGCCACAUUGGGACUGAGAUACGGCCCAGACUCCUACGGGAGGCAGCAGUGGGGAAUAUUGCACAAUGGGCGGAAGCCUGAUGCAGCAACGCCGCGUGCGGGAUGACGGCCUUCGGGUUGUAAACCGCUUUCGCCUGUGACGAAGCGUGAGUGACGGUAAUGGGUAAAGAAGCACCGGCUAACUACGUGCCAGCAGCCGCGGUGAUACGUAGGGUGCGAGCGUUGUCCGGAUUUAUUGGGCGUAAAGGGCUCGUAGGUGGUUGAUCGCGUCGGAAGUGUAAUCUUGGGGCUUAACCCUGAGCGUGCUUUCGAUACGGGUUGACUUGAGGAAGGUAGGGGAGAAUGGAAUUCCUGGUGGAGCGGUGGAAUGCGCAGAUAUCAGGAGGAACACCAGUGGCGAAGGCGGUUCUCUGGGCCUUUCCUGACGCUGAGGAGCGAAAGCGUGGGGAGCGAACAGGCUUAGAUACCCUGGUAGUCCACGCUGUAAACGGUGGGUACUAGGUGUGGGGUCCAUUCCACGGGUUCCGUGCCGUAGCUAACGCUUUAAGUACCCCGCCUGGGGAGUACGGCCGCAAGGCCAAAACUCAAAGGAAUUGACGGGGCCCCGCACAAGCGGCGGAGCAUGCGGAUUAAUUCGAUGCAACGCGUAGAACCUUACCUGGGUUUGACAUGGAUCGGGAGUGCUCAGAGAUGGGUGUGCCUCUUUUGGGGUCGGUUCACAGGUGGUGCAUGGCUGUCGUCAGCUCGUGCCGUGAGAUGUUGGGUUAGGUCCCGCAACGAGCGCAACCCUUGUUCACUGUUGCCAGCACGUUAUGGUGGGGACUCAGUGGAGACCGCCGGGGUCAACUCGGAGGAAGGUGGGGAUGACGUCAAGUCAUCAUGCCCCUUAUGUCCAGGGCUUCACGCAUGCUACAAUGGCUGGUACAGAGAGUGGCGAGCCUGUGAGGGUGAGCGAAUCUCGGAAAGCCGGUCUCAGUUCGGAUUGGGGUCUGCAACUCGACCUCAUGAAGUCGGAGUCGCUAGUAAUCGCAGAUCAGCAACGCUGCGGUGAAUACGUUCCCGGG